GCCACACCCACAAAUGUCUACGACCGCACCUACAUAUUUUUGCAUGUCUACAAUUCUAAUUUUAAACAGCCAAUCGACGUUUAAUUGUAACUGUUACCAUGCAAGAACCGGAUUAGCUGUUUAAAAUUAGAAUGUAAACAUGCGAAAAUAUGUAGGUGCGGACGUAGACGUUUGUGGUAGUGGC